UGCAACAGACAUUGUUUUCCCGCCACUUUCUAUUAAUCGCAUUCAUUUAAAUUUUUAAGCUGUGAACAUGCAAAUGCACGAUGUUCCUUACCAAGGCCAUACAAUAAUGAAACUGAACGAGUCUGUUCCUAAGCUCGUUAAAACACUUGCUUGUGCUCCUUGACAUUUAUAUAAAUAUAAAUUGGAAAAAAAUGCGUUUUUUACAGAAUAGAAUAAAUGUAUUACUUAUACUGGGACAUUUACGUUUUAAUACUGAACGCCUUAUUAAUAAUAAUUAAUUAAUAUAUAUAUCGCCUGUAAUGAUGAAUAAACGCUAUCGAUCAGGAUCUGGGAUUUCAUACACUGUAUAACCCCGACCAAGUGCAACACGUCUCUUACCAUCUGGGGUAAUAGCUAAUUGUCCUCUAAAAUAUUUUCAAUAAAUAUUAAUCCAUAUAACAAUA